UACGUAGGGCGCAAGCGUUAUCCGGAAUUAUUGGGCGUAAAGGGCUCGUAAGCGGUUUGUCGCGUCGGGAGUGAAAUCCACUGGCUUAACUGGUGGCUUGCUUUCGAUACGGGCAGACUGGAGGUAUGCAGGGGAGAACGGAAUUCCUGGUGUAGCGGUGAAAUGCGCAGAUAUCAGGAGGAACACCGGUGGCGAAGGCGGGACUCUGGGCCGAUACUGACGCUGAGGAGCGAAAGCGUGGGGAGCGAACAGG
rnacentral:rRNA from 1 species